UGCAGCCUUAUCAAAUUCCGUUUUCCUCUACUAUUGGCGAAAAUGGCUGCCACAUUGAACCUGUAGUUCAUGGGCCUCAUAUUCCUUUUCGUUGGAUAUUGGGGAUACAUUUGAACUACAGACAAUU
rnacentral:snoRNA from 1 species